UAGGAAUCUUCCACAAUGGGCGAAAGCCUGAUGGAGCGACGCCGCGUGAGGGAUGAAGGCCUUAGGGUUGUAAACCUCUAAAAGAGGGACGAUAAUGACGGUACCUCUUGAAUAGCACCGGCUAACUCCGUGCCAGCAGCCGCGGUAAUACGGAGGGUGCAAGCGUUAUCCGGAAUCACUGGGCGUAAAGGGCGCGUAGGCGGUCUGUUAAGUCCGAUGUUAAAUCCCGGGGCUCAACCCCGGAUAAGCGUUGGAUACUGGCAGGCUAGACGGUUGGAGAGGCGAGUGGAAUUACCAGUGUAGCGGUGGAAUGCGUAGAUACUGGUAGGAACACCCAUUGCGAAGGCAGCUCGCUGGACAACACGUGACGCUGAGGCGCGAAAGUGUGGGGAGCAAACC
rnacentral:rRNA from 1 species